rnacentral:miRNA from 10 species
CCUAAUUCUUGAAAGUCAACA